rnacentral:rRNA from 1 species
UACGUAGGGUGCGGGCGUUAAUCGGAAUUACUGGGCGUAAAGCGUGCGCAGGCGGCCUGUCAAGUCAGGUGUGAAAGCCCCGGGCUUAACCUGGGAAUUGCGCUUGAAACUAGCAGGCUAGAGUGCGGCAGAGGGGGGUGGAAUUCCACGUGUAGCAGUGAAAUGCGUAGAGAUGUGGAGGAACACCGAUGGCGAAGGCAGCCCCUGGGUUGACACUGACGCUCAUGCACGAAAGCGUGGGGAGCAAACAGGAUUAGAACCUACCGUGUACCGUCCGU